GUGCAGGUAUUGAGUCCUGGUGAAGAUGGAAGGGUGAAACCACAGGGAACUACAUCACAUGCAGGUGACUCCAAUGGCUGACUGUAAAGGGACUGGAAGAGAGGCUUUCUCAUCUCAAGGCGUCAAUCUAAUGUUCGGUCUGGAAUCACAACUUCCUGGUCUGAAGGUCCAGUUGGAGAGCUGCCUGAAUAAGUGAGGGUGUUUGAGUUCCAGUUCAUCUGUAUUAUUGCAGCUGGCCUCAUUAACGAGGCCCAGACCCCCACUGUCACGGACUUAUACCCACCCUGUGUGUGUAUAUGCAUUACAUUAAUGCACUCCUGUCUUCUGUACAGUUUUCCUAAGUACUUUAUUUGUGUGAUUGUAUAUUUUAAGCACCAUUGCACAAAGAUACAUUUCUUGUGUAAAAACCUACCUGGCAUAAAUGUACUGAUUCCAGAAGAGUAACAUUUUGAAUUCUACAUGUAUAUGUAAACUGCUGCCAAAUAAAAUCUGAACAAACUCAA